ACUCAAAUGAAUAGACGGGGGCCCGCACAAGCAGCGGAGCAUGUUGUUUAAUUCGACGCUACGCGAAGAACCUUACCAGGGCUUGACAUCCCUUGACGCCGGUGGAAACAUCGGUUCCCUUCGGGGCAAGGAGACAGGUGGUGCAUGGUUGUCGUCAGCUCGUGUCGUGAGAUGUUAGGUUAAGUCCUGCAACGAGCGCAACCCUUAUGUUCAGUUACUAACGGGUAAAGCUGAGGACUCUGGACAGACUGCCGAGGACAACUCGGAGGAAGGUGGGGACGACGUCAAAUCAUCAUGCCCCUUAUGUCCUGGGCUACAAACGUGCUACAAUGGCCGCAACAAAGAGAUGCGAAAGCGCAAGCCGGAGCGGAUCUCAAAAAAACGGUCUCAGUUCGGAUCGUGGGCUGCAACCCGCCCACGUGAAGUCGGAGUUGCUAGUAAUCGCGGAUCAGCAUGCCGCGGUGAAUACGUUCCCGGGCCUUGUACACACCGCCCGU
rnacentral:rRNA from 1 species